CCUCUCCCCUGUGGGGUUUUAACUGCAGAGAGUCAACACUCUUUCAUUCCCACAGAGCAGGUCAGCAGUGCCAAUGGAACCAUGAGACACAGCAGUGCAUACAGAUGAGGAUGAUGGUAGGGUUGGCAAGAUCUUUUUUGGUGAAUAGGUCAUGUGACAUGUACCAGGAAACAGCUUGGCUGCUGGUAUUGGAGUGCAGAGAUGCAAAUCAGUGCCAGGAGUUUUGCUUCCAAUACAUCAACAGUCAUGAGGGACCAGAAUGUAUGUUACACCAUCGCCUGAUCACAAGACAGAGCUUCAUCAUGCACACUCCCAGACACGCAAACCAGUGUACGCACUUCCUAAAACCACUGACCGGGAGUUAACAUCUCCCCCACAUGUGUCCAUGCGUGUGUUCAAUCCAGAGUUACCAACUACAAAGAAGUUCAGAAAAGGUCUUCAGCCACAUGACUUCUAUCCCAUCACACUGCAGAAUCGCUGAAGUCUAGAGAGGAUGAUAAAGGCAUCAUUUUAUGAUGAACAAAUCCAGGGACAUCACUCAAACAAACAUAUCUAUCUGAAUAUGUCAAUCAACUGUCCUGAUGGGACUUUUUUUUUACAUGAACCUCCAUCCCUGUCCAAAAGUUCACACUGCACAAAUACUGUUGCAAUGUCUAACACACCAAUGAUUCGCUUUGUGUGCCAAUUGAGCAAACCACUCUGGGGAUGUAGACUAGUACCAAAUGCUGGAGCUCCAGAGUAAGCAAAUAAAUGAAGAGUGUUUUGUCUCAUG